rnacentral:rRNA from 1 species
UACGUAGGGCGCAAGCGUUGUCCGGAAUUAUUGGGCGUAAAGAGCUCGUAGGCGCUCUGUCGCGUCCGUUGUGAAAACUCGAGGCUCAACCUCGGGCUUGCAGUGGAUACGGGCAGACUAGAGUGCGGUAGGGGAGACUGGAAUUCCUGGUGUAGCGGUGGAAUGCGCAGAUAUCAGGAGGAACACCGGUGGCGAAGGCGGGUCUCUGGGCCGUAACUGACGCUGAGGAGCGAAAGCGUGGGGAGCGAACAGG